GCUUUUAGGUGACUGCUUCCCUCUACGGAGCCGUUACCAGGUGAAGUCGGUUCCCCAACUGACUACACCUUCGAACAAACCACCUUGCCGGGUGGUUUUUUCGUUUC
rnacentral:antisense_RNA from 1 species